rnacentral:rRNA from 1 species
CCUACGGGAGGCAGCAGUGGGGAAUCUUCCGCAAUGGGCGAAAGCCUGACGGAGCAACGCCGCGUGAGUGAUGACGGCCUUCGGGUUGUAAAAACUCUGUGAUCCGGGACGAAAAGGCAGAGUGCGAAGAACAAACUGCAUUGACGGUACCGGAAAAGCAAGCCACGGCUAACUACGUGC